CACCGAAGCAACCAUACCCAGUGAGCAC
rnacentral:sRNA from 1 species